rnacentral:rRNA from 1 species
UACGUAGGGUGCAAGCGUUGUCCGGAAUUAUUGGGCGUAAAGAGCUCGUAGGCGGUUUGUCGCGUCUGCUGUGAAAACCCGAGGCUCAACCUCGGGCCUGCAGUGGGUACGGGCAGACUAGAGUGCGGUAGGGGAGAUUGGAAUUCCUGGUGUAGCGGUGGAAUGCGCAGAUAUCAGGAGGAACACCGAUGGCGAAGGCAGAUCUCUGGGCCGGUACUGACGCUGAGGUGCGAAAGCGUGGGGAGCAAACAGG